rnacentral:misc_RNA from 1 species
UUCAUCGAGGGCUUCUCGGGUGAUCGGAAGGGCUUAAGCUGCUUUUGCCUUACCUUCUAGUAAAGGGCGAAUGAGGGGUGUGUGCAAUAGUUUUCUUUCUUUCUCUCGCUCGAUCCCUAUAAUUUGAGAGAUAACAGGAAAGCGUUCUCUCGAAUUCGAGGAUGUGACACAAAGAAUGACUCUCUUCGCGGGGAUGUCAGCAGAUUAGGCAGCUGUAAGGUUUUUUUAUAUUCGGUGGAAGGCAGGCUGAAACUCUGCCCCAACCAAGUGAAACUAAGGGUCUGAAAGAGUUCACGAUCUGAUCUAUGGGGUGUUAACCCUCGGAGGACG